rnacentral:tRNA from 1 species
GAGGGUAUAGCUUAGUGGUGGAGUGCACGCUUAGCAUGCAUGAGGUCUUGAGUUCAAUUCCCAGUACCUCCA